rnacentral:lncRNA from 1 species
GCAGCCGGCAGAAGCCAGCUCUCGGGCUGACAGGCAAAUGAACCAGAUCGUGGACGGGGCCUCUGGGUGGCAGCUCCGGCCUUUUGGUUGUUGGACAACUAUAGUCAGAACUGAAAUGGAACAGGGGCAGGAGAAAUAACACACUUUUACUCCACGCAACUGUUGCUUUCACAUGAUCUUCAGGAAUGUAACUGGGAUAAUUGUCCAAAUCGAAUCCCAUGCCCUGUCAUGGUACUGAUUAUUAAGGUGACUAUAUGAAAGAAUCACUCCAAAAUAACAGGAAUCUUGAGGAACCCAUUAAUGUAAAGCUGCUGCCAGAGUUCCAUGAGGAGGCAGAAUAUUCUAGAUGAUCCCUGUCUCUUCUCCAUUGAGGAAGUAGUUUCUUGCCUCUCUGUAAACUCAGUUAAUCACACCAGAAUAGGAGUCCUGUCUUAACUGAGCAAUAUACACUAUGGAGAGAUCCUUCAAAACCCGUCGGGAUGAAUAACAGAUGAAUUCAUAAACUGUUCAUCUCUGUUAUCCUGAAUGGUCACUCAGACAACAUUUUACUCAACUAUAAAGGGGAACACUUAAAGUGCAUAUGAGAAGAGAAGAGAAUGACCACAGGAGAAAAUCAUCUCAGGCCACGAUUUCCUAAACAGAAUCUGUAAGAGAGAUUCCAAGAACUUGGGAGAAGCAUAUUGUGUGAUGUUCUAUAUUUAUAAGACCCAUAGCAAACUGUGAAGAGAUAACAGAAUGCUUUUUGCAUGAGCUGAAACAGUAGAUGAAAUCUUUCAUUAAAAUUACUCAUACUUUGGGUCCUAUUCUUACUUAUAAAUAAAUAUUAUUGCAAAC